rnacentral:rRNA from 1 species
GACGUAGGGUGCGAGCGUUGUCCGGAUUUAUUGGGCGUAAAGAGCUCGUAGGCGGCUCGUCGCGUCGACCGUGAAAACCCGCGGCUUAACUGCGGGCUUGCGGUUGAUACGGGCGGGCUAGAGUUCGGUAGGGGAGACUGGAACUCCUGGUGUAGCGGUGAAAUGCGCAGAUAUCAGGAGGAACACCGGUGGCGAAGGCGGGUCUCUGGGCCGAUACUGACGCUGAGGAGCGAAAGCGUGGGGAGCGAACAGG